rnacentral:tRNA from 1 species
GAGCGUGUAGCUCAGUGGGAGAGCAUCCGCCUUACUGGCGGAGGGUCGGGGGUUCGAAACCCUCCGCGCCCA